rnacentral:rRNA from 1 species
CCUACGGGAGGCAGCAGUGGGGAAUUUUUGUCAAUGGGGGAAACCCUGAACAAGCAACGCCGCGUGGAGGAUGAAGGCCUUCGGGUCGUAAACUCCUGUCGGAGGGGACGAAAGCGAUUGAGGUUAAUACCCUCAGUUGUUGACGGUACCCUAUGAGGAAGCCCCGGCUAACUCCGUGCCAGCAGCCGCGGUAAUACGGGGGGGGCAAGCGUUGUUCGGAAUUACUGGGCGUAAAGGGCGCGCAGGCGGCCCGGCUAGUCCCUUGUGAAAUCCCACGGCUCAACUGUGGAACUGCAGGGGAUACUGCCAGGCUUGAGUCCGGGAGAGGGGAGUGGAAUUCCCAGUGUAGCGGUGAAAUGCGUAGAUAUUGGGAGGAACACCGGUGGCGAAGGCGGCUCCCUGGACCGGUACUGACGCUGAGGCGCGAAAGCUAGGGGAGCAAACGGGAUUAGAUACCCCGGUAGUCCUAGCUGUAAACGUUGAGCACUUGGUGUGGCGGGUAUCGACCCCUGCCGUGCCGAAGCUAACGCAUUAAGUGCUCCGCCUGGGGAGUACGGUCGCAAGGCUGAAACUCAAAGGAAUGACGG